rnacentral:rRNA from 1 species
UACAGAGGGGGCAAGCGUUAUUCGGAAUUAUUGGGCGUAAAGGGCGCGUAGGCGGCCUUGUAAGUCUUGGGUGAAAUCCCUCAGCUCAACUGAGGAACUGCCUCGGAUACUGCAGGGCUUGAGGCCGGGAGAGGGUAGUGGAAUUCCCAGUGUAGCGGUGAAAUGCGUAGAUAUUGGGAGGAACACCGGUGGCGAAGGCGGCUACCUGGACCGGUUCUGACGCUGAUGCGCGAAAGCGUGGGGAGCAAACAGG